rnacentral:rRNA from 1 species
GACGGAGGGUGCAAGCGUUGUUCGGAAUUACUGGGCGUAAAGCGCGCGCAGGCGGGGAGGUAAGUCUGGAGUGAAAUUCCGGGGCUCAACUCCGGAGCUGCUUUGGAUACUGUCUUUCUAGGGACCGGUAGAGGCCGGUGGAAUUCCCGGUGUAGCGGUGGAAUGCGUAGAGAUCGGGAAGAACACCCGUGGCGAAGGCGGCCGGCUGGGCCGGAUCCGACGCUGAGGCGCGAAAGCGUGGGGAGCGAACAGG